rnacentral:rRNA from 1 species
ACACGGUCCAGACUCCUACGGGAGGCAGCAGUGGGGAAUAUUGCACAAUGGGCGCAAGCCUGAUGCAGCCAUGCCGCGUGUAUGAAGAAGGCCUUCGGGUUGUAAAGUACUUUCAGCGGGGAGGAAGGCGGUGAGGUUAAUAACCUCAUCGAUUGACGUUACCCGCAGAAGAAGCACCGGCUAACUCCGUGCCAGCAGCCGCGGUAAUA